rnacentral:tRNA from 2 species
GGCCUUAUGGUCUAGUAGUAUGAUUCCUCGUUUGGGUUUCGGUCCGAAAUCGAGGAGGUCCUGGGUUCAACUCCCAGUGAGGCCC